UACGUAGGGUGCAAGCGUUGUCCGGAAUUAUUGGGCGUAAAGAGCUCGUAGGCGGUCUGUCGCGUCUGCUGUGAAAACUCAGGGCUUAACCCUGAGCUUGCAGUGGGUACGGGCAGACUAGAGUUCGGUAGGGGAGACUGGAAUUCCUGGUGUAGCGGUGAAAUGCGCAGAUAUCAGGAGGAACACCGGUGGCGAAGGCGGGUCUCUGGGCCGAUACUGACGCUGAGGCACGAAAGCGUGGGGAGCAAACAGG
rnacentral:rRNA from 1 species